UGGGGAAUAUUGCACAAUGGGCGCAAGCCUGAUGCAGCCAUGCCGCGUGUGUGAAGAAGGCCUUCGGGUUGUAAAGCACUUUCAGCGGGGAGGAAGGCGGUGAGGUUAAUAACCUCAUCGAUUGACGUUACCCGCAGAAGAAGCACCGGCUAACUCCGUGCCAGCAGCCGCGGUAAUACGGAGGGUGCAAGCGUUAAUCGGAAUUACUGGGCGUAAAGCGCACGCAGGCGGUCUGUCAAGUCGGAUGUGAAAUCCCCGGGCUCAACCUGGGAACUGCAUUCGAAACUGGCAGGCUAGAGUCUUGUAGAGGGGGGUAGAAUUCCAGGUGUAGCGGUGAAAUGCGUAGAGAUCUGGAGGAAUACCGGUGGCGAAGGUGGCCCCCUGGACAAAGACUGACGCUCAGGUGCGAAAGCGUGGGGAGCAAACAGG
rnacentral:rRNA from 1 species